rnacentral:misc_RNA from 1 species
AAUUAGAAGCAGGAAGAAGAAAAGGGACAGUUUGGGUUUGAACAGAGGAGCAAAUGAGAAGAAAGCGAAGAAAGGAAACAAUCAUCAUAGUUCAAGCAAUAGAUUACGAGAUGGGUUAAAGCACAGGUUGUUGGCUUUGGGUAGAGAGGUAUUGAUGCAGAGAUCAACGGUGGAGAAGCAGAGGAGGAAGCUAGGAGAGGAAGAGCAAGCAGCUGUGCUACUAAUGGCUCUAUCUUAUGGCUCAGUGUAUGCUUAGGAGGGGUAAUAAUGGAAUCAAGAAUUGUUGUAUUAGCUGACCCAAUUAAGUUGAAAUGUCAAGUGUAUGUUGUUCAUUUUUUUGAGGUGUUGAUUUUACAAGCUUUUGUGCUAACUGUAUUUUGGGGUUUCGGAAGGAAUUCAAGCAACCGGAUAUUGUUUGUCUGCUCUAAAA